rnacentral:rRNA from 1 species
AGUGAACGCUGGCGGUAGGCCUAACACAUGCAAGUCGAACGGCAGCACAGUAAGAGCUUGCUCUUACGGGUGGCGAGUGGCGGACGGGUGAGUAAUACAUCGGCAUCUACUUUUUCGUGGGGGAUAACGUAGGGAAACUUACGCUAAUACCGCAUACGACCUACGGGUGAAAGCAGGGGAUCUUCGUACCUUGCGCGAUUGAAUGAGCCGAUGUCGGAUUAGCUAGUUGGCGGGGUAAAGGCCCACCAAGGCGACGAUCCGUAGCUGGUCUGAGAGGAUGAUGAGCAACACUGGAACUGAGACACGGUCCAGACUCCUACGGGAGGCAGCAGUGGGGAAUAUUGGAAAAUGGGAGAAAGCCUGAUCCAGCCAGACCGCGUGGGUGAAGAAGGCCUUAGGGUUGUAAAGCCAUUUUGUUGGGAAAGAAAAGAAGCAGGUUAAUACCCAGCUGUUGUGACGGUACCAAAAGAAUAAGCACCGGCUAAAUUCGUG